UGGGGAAUAUUGGACAAUGGGCGAAAGCCUGAUCCAGCAAUGCCGCGUGUGUGAAGAAGGCCUGCGGGUUGUAAAGCACUUUUGUGAGGAAAGAAACAGUGGCGGGGUAAUAUCCCGUCGCCUUGACGGUACCUCAAGAAUAAGCACCGGCUAACUCCGUGCCAGCAGCCGCGGUAAUACGGAGGGUGCAAGCGUUAAUCGGAAUUACUGGGCGUAAAGCGUGCGUAGGCGGUUAUCUAAGUCGGAUGUGAAAGCCCCGGGCUUAACCUGGGAAUUGCAUUCGAUACUGGGUAACUAGAAUCUGACAGAGGCUAGCGGAAUUCCGGGUGUAGCGGUGAAAUGCGUAGAUAUCCGGAGGAACAUCAGUGGCGAAGGCGGCUAGCUGGGUCAAGAUUGACGCUGAGGUACGAAAGCGUGGGGAGCAAACAGGAUUAGAUACCCCCGUAGUCC
rnacentral:rRNA from 1 species